rnacentral:rRNA from 1 species
UACGGAGGGGGCGAGCGUUAUUCGGAAUAUUGGGCGUAAAGGGCGCGUAGGCCGGUUUGACAAGUCUGAUGUGAAAUCUCUGGGCCUCAACCCAGAGUCUGCAUUAGAAACUGUCGGGCUUGAGUAUGGGAGAGGUGAGUGGAAUUUCCGGUGUAGCGGUGAAAUGCGUAGAUAUCGAGAGGAACACCAGUGGCGAAGGCGAGUCUCUGGACGACUCCUGACACUGAGGCACGAAAGCUAGGGGAGCAAACAGG